rnacentral:tRNA from 1 species
GGGGAUUUAGCUCAGUGGUAUAAGCACCUGCCUUGCAAGCAGGCAGUCGAGAGUUUGAUCCCUG